rnacentral:rRNA from 1 species
GACGAACGCUGGCGGCGUGCUUACCACAUGCAAGUCGAACGAAGUGGCGAACGGGUGAGUAACGCGUAAUAAACCUGCCCUUCAGAGGGGGACAACAGUUGGAAACGACAGCUAAUAACGCAUACUGAAGGAGGGGAUUGCGUCUGAUAAGCAAGUGGGAGGGGUAAUGGCCCACCAAGGGGUUGAUCAGUAGCCGGGCUGAGAGGAGGAACGGCACAAUAGGGACUUGGACACGGGCCAUACUCCUACGGGAGGCAGCAAUGGGGAGUCUUCCGCAAUGGACGAAAGUCUGACGGAGCAACGCCGCGUGAGUGAUGACGGCCUGCGGGUUGUAAAGCUCUGUUAAUCGGGACGCGGUACCGGAAUAGAAAGCCACGGCUAACUACGUGCCAGCAGCCGCGGUAAUUC